GUACUCACUUUGGCAGCACAUAUACUGAAAUUGAAAUGAUGCAGAGAUUAGCCUGACCCUUGCACAAAGAGAACGGGCAAAUUCGUAAAGGAAUUCAUGAAGUGU
rnacentral:snRNA from 1 species